CCUACGGGAGACAGCAGUGAGGAAUAUUGGUCAAUGGACGAGAGUCUGAACCAGCCAAGUAGCGUGAAGGAUGACUGCCCUAUGGGUUGUAAACUUCUUUUAUAUGGGAAUAAAAUGUUCCACGUGUGGGAUUUUGUAUGUACCAUAUGAAUAAGGAUCGGCUAACUCCGUGCCAGCAGCCGCGGUAAUACGGAGGAUCCUAGCGUUAUCCGGAUUUAUUGGGUUUAAAGGGAGCGUAGGUGGAUUGUUAAGUCAGUUGUGAAAGUUUGCGGCUCAACCGUAAAAUUGCAGUUGAAACUGGCAGUCUUGAGUACAGUAGAGGUGGGCGGAAUUCGUGGUGUAGCGGUGAAAUGCUUAGAUAUCACGAAGAACUCCGAUUGCGAAGGCAGUUCACUGGACUGCAACUGACACUGAGGCUCGAAAGUGUGGGUAUCAAACAGGAUUAGAUACCCUAGUAGUC
rnacentral:rRNA from 1 species